rnacentral:rRNA from 1 species
UACGAAGGGGGCUAGCGUUGCUCGGAAUUACUGGGCGUAAAGGGUGCGCAGGCGGUCCCGCAAGUCAGGCGUGAAAUCCCCGGGCUUAACCUGGGAAUGGCACUUGAAACUACGGGACUGGAGUAUGGCAGAGGGAGGUGGAAUUCCACGUGUAGCGGUGAAAUGCGUAGAGAUGUGGAGGAACACCGAUGGCGAAGGCAGCCUCCUGGGCCAAUACUGACGCUCAUGCACGAAAGCGUGGGGAGCAAACAGG